CCUACGGGAGGCUGCAGUGAGGAAUAUUGGUCAAUGGACGAGAGUCUGAACCAGCCAAGUAGCGUGAAGGAUGACUGCCCUAUGGGUUGUAAACUUCUUUUAUAAAGGAAUAAAACGAGGCACGUGUGCCUUUUUGCAUGUACUUUAUGAAUAAGGAUCGGCUAACUCCGUGCCAGCAGCCGCGGUAAUACGGAGGAUCCGAGCGUUAUCCGGAUUUAUUGGGUUUAAAGGGAGCGUAGAUGGGUUGUUAAGUCAGUUGUGAAAGUUUGCGGCUCAACCGUAAAAUUGCAAUUGAUACUGGCAGUCGUGAGUACAGUUGAGGUAGGCGGAAUUCGUGGUGUAGCGGUGAAAUGCUUAGAUAUCACGAAGAACCCCGAUUGCGAAGGCAGCUUACUAAACUGUGACUGACAUUGAUGCUCGAAAGUGUGGGUAUCAAACAGGAUUAGAUACCCCUGAGUC
rnacentral:rRNA from 1 species